GGAAAGUGGAGGCUUCCUGGAGGAGUGAUCCCUGAGCUAGGGCCUUGAGAUGUGAGGAGGCAGCCAGUUCAAGAAGUGAGGAGAAGGCAUGGACCAAGGCCCAGGGGCAUGCAGUGGUUUGGCGAAGUGGAGUGUGCUACUGGCUAGAGUGGCUGGAGCCUGGAGGAGUGUGGAGAUGAAUAAGGCCCAGUUCCGACAUCUGGGAUUUUGACUCUCCAGGCAAGAGGACAGGAAAAAGAUGUUUGGCUUCUAUGAACUAAUUCACUGUCCAGAGCAUCUUGGCAUCUGGCUGCUGCUGAGGAAAGAGGAGGAUGUUUGUGUGUGUGUGUGUGCACAUGCGCCCGUGUGUGCGUAUCUGAGGGAAGCUAAAUAUUACAUUUCAGGGCUUAGUCCUUCCAUACUUUGAAUUUAAUAUGUAAUUAUGAAUAAACAUGGAAACGUAAAAACAAAACCACCCAUGCCUCACGAUCCUAUUGACAUUGGGAGAGCACAUUUACUAUGUGUCUUCAUUCUUGUGGUCAGGUACGGAGCAUUACAGCCAUUUUUACAUGUGUGCAUGCUUUCAGUUACAACAGAGGCUGAAAAUGGGCAACCCUAUGAAACUACUGUUUUGUAUAUUUUUUAUUUAAUUUAAUUUUUUUGAGACAGAGUCUCACUCUGUCACCCAGGCUGGAGUGCAGUGGCACGAUGUCAGCAAACUGCAACCUCUGCCUCCCGGGUUCAAGCAAUUCUCCUGUCUCAGCCUCCCGAGUAGCUGGGAUUACAGGCACCUGCCACCACGCCCGGCUAAUUUUUGUAUUUUUAGUAGAGACGGGGUUUCACCUUGUUGGUCAGGCUGGUCACAAACUCCUGACCUCAGGUGAUCCACCUGCCUCAGCCUCCCAAAGUGCUGGGAUUACAGGCGUGAGCCACUGUGCCCGGCCUGCUUCGUUUAUUUUUAAAGAUGGCU
rnacentral:lncRNA from 10 species